GACGAACGCUGGCGGCGUGCCUAAUACAUGCAAGUCGAGCGAAUCAAUAGGAGCUUGCUCCUGUUGAUUAGCGGCGGACGGGUGAGUAACACGUGGGCAACCUGCCUGUAAGAUCGGGAUAACUUCGGGAAACCGGAGCUAAUACCGGAUAAUCCUUUUCCACAUAUGUGGGAAAGCUGAAAGACGGUUUCGGCUGCCACUUACAGAUGGGCCCGCGGCGCAUUAGCUAGUUGGUGAGGUAACGGCUCACCAAGGCGACGAUGCGUAGCCGACCUGAGAGGGUGAUCGGCCACGCUGGGACUGAGACACGGCCCAGACUCCUACGGGAGGCAGCAGUAGGGAAUCUUCCGCAAUGGACGAAAGUCUGACGGAGCAACGCCGCGUGAGCGAUGAAGGCCUUCGGGUCGUAAAGCUCUGUUGUUAGGGAAGAACAAGUAUCGGAGUAACUGCCGGUACCUUGACGGCACCUAACCAGAAAGCCACGGCUAACUACGUGCCAGCCGCCGCGGUAA
rnacentral:rRNA from 1 species